CGAGUUUGACUCCGUGGCUCAGAACGACGCUGGCGGCAUGCCUAACACAUGCAAGUCGAACGAGACCUUCGGGUCUAGUGGCGCACGGGUGCGUAACACGUGGGAAUUUGCCUCGGGGUAUGGAAUAACUCAGGGAAACUUGAGCUAAUACCAUAUAAUGUCUUCGGACCAAAGAUUUAUCGCCCUGAGAUAAGCCCGCGUAGGAUUAGCUAGUUGGUGGGGUAAAGGCUCACCAAGGCGACGAUCCUUAGCUGGUCUGAGAGGAUGAUCAGCCACACUGGGACUGAGACACGGCCCAGACUCCUACGGGAGGCAGCAGUGGGGGAAUAUUGGACAAUGGGCGAAAGCCUGAUCCAGCAAUGCCGCGUGAGUGAUGAAGGCCUUCGGGUUGUAAAGCUCUUUUACUCGGGACGAUAAUGACGGUACCGAGAGAAUAAGCCCCGGCUAACUCCGUG
rnacentral:rRNA from 1 species